GAUGAACGCUGGCGGCGUGCCUAAUACAUGCAAGUCGAGCGAAUGGAUUAAGAGCUUGCUCUUAUGAAGUUAGCGGCGGACGGGCGAGUAACACGUGGGUAACCUGCCCAUAAGACUAGGAUAACUCCGGGAAACCGGGGCUAAUACCGGAUAAUAUUUUGAACUGCAUGGUUCAAAAUUGAAAGGCGGCUUCGGCUGUCACUUAUGGAUGGACCCGCGUCGCAUUAGCUAGUUGGUGAGGUAACGGCUCACCAAGGCAACGAUGCGUAGCCGACCUGAGAGGGUGAUCGGCCACACUGGGACUGAGACACGGCCCAGACUCCUACGGGAGGCAGCAGUAGGGAAUCUUCCGCAAUGGACGAAAGUCUGACGGAGCAACGCCGCGUGAGUGAUGAAGGCUUUCGGGUCGUAAAACUCUGUUGUUAGGGAAGAACAAGUGCUAGUUGAAUAAGCUGGCACCUUGACGGUACCUAACCAGAAAGCCACGGCUAACUACGUGCCAGCAGCCGCAGUAA
rnacentral:rRNA from 1 species